rnacentral:rRNA from 1 species
AGCGAACGCUGGCGGCAUGCUUAACACAUGCAAGUCGCACGAAGGUUUCGGCCUUAGUGGCGGACGGGUGAGUAACGCGUAGGAAUCUAUCCGUGGGUGGGGGAUAACUCUGGGAAACUGGAGCUAAUACCGCAUGACACCUGAGGGUCAAAGGCGCAAGUCGCCUGCGGAGGAGCCUGCGUUUGAUUAGCUUGUUGGUGGGGUAAUGGCCUACCAAGGCGAUGAUCAA